AAUAGACUUGGUGAAGCGAACCCGGCGAACUGAAACAUCUCAGUAACCGGAGGAAAAGACAUCAACCGAGAUUCCGUUAGUAGUGGCGAGCGAACGCGGACCAGGCCAGUGGCUUAUUUUAAUAAACCGGAACCAUCUGGAAAGUUGGGCAAGAAUGGGUGAUAGCCCCGUACGGAUAACAUUGAGAUAAGUCCUCGAGUAGGGCGGAACACGUGAAAUUCUGUCUGAACAUGGGGGGACCACCCUCCAAGCCUAAAUACUCGUAUGUGACCGAUAGUGAACAAGUACCGUGAGGGAAAGGUGAAAAGCACCCCGACGAGGGGAGUGAAACAGUACCUGAAACCGAACGCCUACAAUCAGUUGGAGGGCC
rnacentral:rRNA from 1 species